GAUGAACGCUGGCGGCGUGCCUAAUACAUGCAAGUCGAGCGAACGGACGAGAAGCUUGCUUCUCUGAUGUUAGCGGCGGACGGGUGAGUAACACGUGGAUAACCUACCUAUAAGACUGGGAUAACUUCGGGAAACCGGAGCUAAUACCGGAUAAUAUUUUGAACCGCAUGGUUCAAAAGUGAAAGACGGUCUUGCUGUCACUUAUAGAUGGAUCCGCGCUGCAUUAGCUAGUUGGUAAGGUAACGGCUUACCAAGGCAACGAUGCAUAGCCGACCUGAGAGGGUGAUCGGCCACACUGGAACUGAGACACGGUCCAGACUCCUACGGGAGGCAGCAGUAGGGAAUCUUCCGCAAUGGGCGAAAGCCUGACGGAGCAACGCCGCGUGAGUGAUGAAGGUCUUCGGAUCGUAAAACUCUGUUAUUAGGGAAGAACAUAUGUGUAAGUAACUGUGCACCUCUUGACGGUACCUAAUCAGAAAGCCACGGCUAACUACGUG
rnacentral:rRNA from 1 species